GGGGAAUAUUGGGCAAUGGACGCAAGUCUGACCCAGCAACGCCGCGUGAAGGAAGAAGGCUUUCGGGUUGUAAACUUCUUUUAAGAGGGAAGAGUAGAAGACGGUACCUCUUGAAUAAGCCACGGCUAACUACGUGCCAGCAGCCGCGGUAAUACGUAGGUGGCAAGCGUUGUCCGGAUUUACUGGGUGUAAAGGGCGUGUAGCCGGGUCGGCAAGUCAGAUGUGAAAUCUGGUGGCUUAACCACCAAACUGCAUUUGAAACUGCUGAUCUUGAGUAUCGGAGAGGUAAUCGGAAUUCCUAGUGUAGCGGUGAAAUGCGUAGAUAUUAGGAAGAACACCAGUGGCGAAGGCGGAUUACUGGACGACAACUGACGGUGAGGCGCGAAAGCGUGGGGAGCAAAC
rnacentral:rRNA from 1 species